CUGCCUUUUAGACUGGAACAACUUACCGAAAGGUGAGCUAAUGCCGGAUGAGUUAUAUAAGUGCAUGUUUAUAUAGGAAAAGUUGGGGAGACCUGACGCUGAAAGAUGGACUCGCGUCCCAUUAGCUAGUUGGUAGGGUAAUGGCCUACCAAGGCGACGAUGGGUAGCCGGCCUGAGAGGGUGGCCGGCCACACUGGGACUGAGACACGGCCCAGACUCCUACGGGAGGCAGCAGUGGGGAAUUUUGCGCAAUGCUCGUAAGAGUGACGCAGCGACGCCGCGUGAAUGACGAAGGCCUUCGGGUCGUAAAGUUCUUUCGACAGGGAAGAAAAUGCCUAUAAGUAACUGUGUAUGUAUUGACGGUACCUGUAUAAGCAGCCCCGGCUAACUCCGUGCCAGCAGCCGCGGUAAUACGGAGGGGGCGAGCGUUGUUCGGAGUGACUGGGCGUAAAGAGCACGUAGGCGGUGUUGUAAGUCAUUAGUCAAAGACUAGAGCUCAACUUUAGUAAGGCUAGUGAUACUAUAAUACUAGAGUAUCAGAGAGGAUUGCAGAAUUCCUGGUGUAGCGGUGAAAUGCGUAGAUAUCAGGAGGAAUACCGUUAGCGAAGGCGGCAAUCUGGCUGGAAACUGACGCUGAGGUGCGAAAGCGUGGGUAGCAAACAGGAUUAGAUACCCUGGUAGUCCACGCUGU
rnacentral:rRNA from 1 species